GCAGGUAUAACCCUUACGUUUGCCAGAGCGACACAGCUGCUACUUGUGUCAUUGUUCAGCGCACAGCUGUGGUGGGGUGACGGUCGGUGAAGGAUAAAUGUGUCAGGCGGUCUCCGGGGGUCAGCAGUGCAAAGCAAGAGAAGCUGUAACUGAGUUAAUCAGCUGGUUUCAGGAGGAAAGGAGACGCACAAUCAAUGACAUUGGGGCAUAAAAAAAGCAGUUGUCAAGAUACCAAUUCCAGACACGCCUGCCUACCACCGUCAAGCCAGCCUGAGGUGGGAUGUGAUUCGAAAGGUGAACAAUUGCAGAUUGGGGGAAAUCCACGUCCAAAGGGAACGAAAUUGAAGAAGCCACAACAGUGGAAAAAUCACUCAACUCCACUAGACAAGACUGAGUAGGUUGGUGUAAUGGUGACGCGGUUUGAAUGUCGGUCAGGUUAGCAUGAAGCCGAGUCGUGGGGUA